rnacentral:rRNA from 1 species
GACAGAGGAUGCAAGCGUUAUCCGGAAUGAUUGGGCGUAAAGCGUCUGUAGGUGGCUUUUUAAGUCCGCCGUCAAAUCCCAGGGCUCAACCCUGGACAGGCGGUGGAAACUACCAAGCUGGAGUACGGUAGGGGCAGAGGGAAUUCCCGGUGUAGAGGUGAAAUUCGUAGAUAUCGGGAGGAACACCAGUGGCGAAGGCGGCGAUCUGGGAAGAUACUGACGCUGAGGUGCGAAAGCGUGGGGAGCAAACAGG